UCGAACGAGAAAGUGGAGCAAUCCAUGAGUACAGUGGCGACCGGGUGAGUAACACGUGACCAACCUGCCCUCGAGUGGGGAACAACAGCGGGAAACCGCUGCUAAUACCGCAUAACAUCCUUGAGUCGGAAGACUUGGGGAUCAAAGGAGCAAUUCGCUUGAGGAGGGGGUCGCGGCUGAUUAGCCAGUUGGCGGGGUAAUGGCCCACCAAGGCAAAGAUCGGUAUCCGGCCUGAGAGGGCGCACGGACACACUGGAACUGAAACACGGUCCAGACUCCUACGGGAGGCAGCAGUGGGGAAUUUUGCGCAAUGGGGGAAACCCUGACGCAGCAACGCCGCGUGGAGGAUGAAGUCCCUUGGGACGUAAACUCCUUUCGACCGGGACGAUAAUGACGGUUCUGAGGAAGGACACCGGCUAUCUGAGGCGCCGCAUCGGGGGUCAUACUUUG
rnacentral:rRNA from 1 species